GGAAUAGCCACCCAGCUGAAGUUUGCAGAAGUUAACACAGUGAAGGAGUUUAAGCAUGCGUGGGAUAGGCAUAAGGCUAUCCUAACUAAGAUAAAGCCAGGGACUAAUGAAAGAAUUAAAAAAAUUAGGCAGAUUAGAUGGGCCCGAUGGUUGGUUCUUAUCUGCCGUCACAUUCGAUGUUUCUAUGUUUCUCCUUGGCUGAGAUCAUAAGAAUUGAUCUAAGCCAAUCCGAUGCUUUCCUAUGGGAAAGUAUUGGUUUGGCUGCAAUCGUCAAUUCUUUUGAUCUCAGCCAAGAAAGCUGGACAGUGGUGGAACCAAAUGCCACCCUAGCCAAUCAGCAUCUCCUUAUAGAGAUGGAAUGAAUCAAUGCAUUUCUAUACAGAAAGUUCUGCAUGGAGACGCUGAACAUCAG